rnacentral:rRNA from 1 species
ACACAUGCAAGUCGAGCGGUAGAGAGAAGCUUGCUUCUCUUGAGAGCGGCGGACGGGUGAGUAAUGCCUAGGAAUCUGCCUGGUAGUGGGGGAUAACGUUCGGAAACGGACGCUAAUACCGCAUACGUCCUACGGGAGAAAGCAGGGGACCUUCGGGCCUUGCGCUAUCAGAUGAGCCUAGGUCGGAUUAGCUAGUUGGUGAGGUAAUGGCUCACCAAGGCGACGAUCCGUAACUGGUCUGAGAGGAUGAUCAGUCACACUGGAACUGAGACACGGUCCAGACUCCUACGGGAGGCAGCAGUGGGGAAUAUUGGACAAUGGGCGAAAGCCUGAUCCAGCCAUGCCGCGUGUGUGAAGAAGGUCUUCGGAUUGUAAAGCACUUUAAGUUGGGAGGAAGGGCAGUUACCUAAUACGUGAUUGUUUUGACGUUACCGACAGAAUAAGCACCGGCUAACUCUGUGCCAGCAGCCGCGGUAAUACAGAGGGUGCAAGCGUUAAUCGGAAUUACUGGGCGUAAAGCGCGCGUAGGUGGUUUGUUAAGUUGGAUGUGAAAUCCCCGGGCUCAACCUGGGAACUGCAUUCAAAACUGACUGACUAGAGUAUGGUAGAGGGGUGGUGGAAUUUCCUGUGUAGCGGUGAAAUGCGUAGAUAUAGGAAGGAACACCAGUGGCGAAGGCGACCACCUGGACUGAUACUGACACUGAGGUGCGAAAGCGUGGGGAGCAAACAGGAUUAGAUAC